CCUACGGGGGGCUGCAGUGGGGAAUAUUGGACAAUGGGGGGAACCCUGAUCCAGCCAUGCCGCGUGUGUGAAGAAGGCCCUCGGGUUGUAAAGCACUUUCAGUGAGGAAGAACGCCUGGUGGUUAAUACCCAUCAGGAAAGACAUCACUCACAGAAGAAGCACCGGCUAACUCCGUGCCAGCAGCCGCGGUAAUACGGAGGGUGCGCGCGUUAAUCGGAAUUACUGGGCGUAAAGCGCGCGUAGGUGGCUUGAUAAGCCGGUUGUGAAAGCCCCGGGCUCAACCUGGGAACGGCAUCCGGAACUGUCAAGCUAGAGUGCAGGAGAGGAAGGUAGAAUUCCCGGUGUAGCGGUGAAAUGCGUAGAGAUCGGGAGGAAUACCAGUGGCGAAGGCGGCCUUCUGGACUGACACUGACACUGAGGUGCGAAAGCGUGGGUAGCAAACAGGAUUAGAUACCCUAGUAGUC
rnacentral:rRNA from 1 species